AGAGUUUGAUCAUGGCUCAGAGCGAACGUUUGCGGCGGGCCUAACACAUGCAAGUCGAACGCACUAGCAAUAGUGAGUGGCGCACGGGUGCGUAACACGUGGGUAAUCAACCCUUCAGCUUGGGAUAACGACUUGAAAGGGUCGCUAAUACCGGAUACGGCGCGAGAGGCUUCGGCAUCUCACGAGAAAGCCUCGCAAGGGGCACUGAAGGACGAGCCUGCGGCCCAUCAGCUAGUUGGUGAGGUAAGAGCUCACCAAGGCUAAGACGGGUAGCUGGUCUGAGAGGAUGAUCAGCCACACUGGAACUGAGACACGGUCCAGACUCCUACGGGAGGCAGCAGUGGGGAAUAUUGCGCAAUGGGCGAAAGCCUGACGCAGCCACGCCGCGUGAGCGAUGAAGGCCUUCGGGUCGUAAAGCUCUGUGGGGAGAGACGAAGAAAGCCCGUGAAGAGCGGGCCUUGACGGUAUCUCCUUAGCAAGCACCGGCUAACUCCGUGCCAGCAGCCGCGGUAAUACGGAGGGUGCAAACGUUGCUCGGAAUCAUUGGGCGUAAAGCGCACGUAGGCGGCGAAGCAAGUUGGGUGUGAAAGCCCUGGGCUCAACCCAGGAAGUGCAUUCAAAACUGCUUCGCUUGAAUCUCGGAGGGGGUCAGAGAAUUCCCGGUGUAGAGGUGAAAUUCGUAGAUAUCGGGAGGAAUACCAGUGGCGAAGGCGCUGACCUGGACGAAGAUUGACGCUGAGGUGCGAAAGCGCGGGGAGCAAACAGGAUUAGAUACCCCCGUAGUCC
rnacentral:rRNA from 1 species